rnacentral:lncRNA from 1 species
UCCAUUAAUUUACUACGACAUAAUUUAAAAGCUAACAAGCAUUUAUAUAUUUAUAUAUAAAUUCUUUUAACAAAAUGAUUAAAACCUUGCAAAUUCACUUUACAACUGAUCAACAACAGUUACUGCAGUUCCGGUUAACAAAAGCAACAUUUUAACAAUAAUUCAUCAUCUCUACCAAUAAUGUUGCUAGUUAGCUAGCUUCAUUUGAAUCUUCAUCAAGAACGGCAUCAUUGUUUCGGCCGCCACCACCACCUUCGCCACCAACAUCAUCAUCAUCCCCACCAAUGUCAUUCUUAGAACUUUCACCAUCGAUGACGUCCUUAUUUGCCUCUGCAAUUUCCUGCAACAAUCCAUCAUUUAUACUAAUAUAUCAAUUACAAUUUAUAUAAACGAUACACAAUAUUAGCAUAAUUCACUAUAUGUGUGUGUGUGUCGAUCUAUAUGCACAAUACUUAUUAUUCAUAGAAUUGUACAUAUAAUAAGUUUCGAAUUACCAUCUCAACAGCCUCAAAUGAUUUUGCACCUGCAGUAUGCAAGGUCUCCAUUAACAUACAAUUAUCAGCACACGUACUCUCUUACACAAACUAUCAAACACCUUUGCUACACCACAAAAUACACUUCUUUAAUCCACAAUCAAACAAAGAGUUCAACACCAAAAAACUCACAACUGCAAAAUUCAUUAGACUUUCAACAAGCGUUCAUACAGUCAAUAUAUCAAACACUUAAUAAGCACCAAGAAAAAGACACACUUCCUACUUCUUAUCACAAUUUCUCCAACUAUCAAUCAACACAAAACACAAAUUUGAAACACAAACAUAAUAUAUAUAUAAAACAGAGAUACAAUUAGCAAAGGAUACAAAACUGAGCACAAAUGUAAUCAGAGCAAGAUACAAAAACAAAUCUACAAUUGAGGUACCAUACAAAGACAAAUACACAGGAGGGGGAAAGAGAGAGGGUGGGCGAGAGAGAGAGAGAGAGAGANAGGAGGGGGAAAGAGAGAGGGUGGGCGAGAGAGAGAGAGAGAGAGACUUACAGAGAAAGAUUCGAGAGAGUGUUGAGAGAGAUCGGGAAAGAAAAGCAUGCAGAGACGAGAGAGAUUUUUGAGAGAGUUGGGAGAGUUGAAACUGAGAAGUAGAGUUUAGAGUGUGAAAAAAGAAAAUGAUGUUGCACAAUCGAGAAAUGCUGUUGUUUAGGCUGAGCGGGAG